GCCCCUGUAGCUCAGGGGAUAGAGCAACGGCCUCCGGAGCCGUGUGCGCAGGUUCGAAUCCUGCCAGGGGCACCU
rnacentral:tRNA from 1 species